rnacentral:rRNA from 1 species
UACGUAGGGUGCAAGCGUUGUCCGGAAUUAUUGGGCGUAAAGCGCGCGCAGGCGGUUUUGUAAGUCUGAUGUGAAAUCCCCGGGCUCAACCUGGGAAUUGCAUUGGAGACUGCAAGGCUAGAAUCUGGCAGAGGGGGGUAGAAUUCCACGUGUAGCAGUGAAAUGCGUAGAGAUGUGGAGGAACACCGAUGGCGAAGGCAGCCCCCUGGGUCAAGAUUGACGCUCAUGCACGAAAGCGUGGGGAGCAAACAGG